UGAACGCUGGCGGUAGGCCUAACACAUGCAAAUCGACCGGCAGCACAGUAAGAGCUUGCUCUUACGGGUGGCGAGUGGCGGACGGGUGAGGAAUACAUCGGAAUCUACUUUUUCGUGGGGGAUAACGUAGGGAAACUUACGCUAAUACCGCAUACGACCUACGGGUGAAAGCAGGGGAUCUUCGGACCUUGCGCGAUUGAAUGAGCCGAUGUCGGAUUAGCUAGUUGGCGGGGUAAAGGCCCACCAAGGCGACGAUCCGUAGCUGGUCUGAGAGGAUGAUCAGCCACACUGGAACUGAGACACGGUCCAGACUCCUACGGGAGGCAGCAGUGGGGAAUAUUGGACAAUGGGCGCAAGCCUGAUCCAGCCAUACCGCGUGGGUGAAGAAGGCCUUCGGGUUGUAAAGCCCUUUUGUUGGGAAAGAAAAGCAGCAGGUUAAUACCCCGCUGUUCUGACGGUACCCAAAGAAUAAGCACCGGCUAACUUCGUG
rnacentral:rRNA from 1 species